rnacentral:rRNA from 1 species
UACGUAGGGGGCAAGCGUUGUUCGGAAUUACUGGGCGUAAAGGGCGCGUAGGCGGCAUGGCAAGUCGGGAGUGAAAGCCCGGGGCUCAACCCCGGAACUGCUUUCGAAACUGCCAAGCUAGAGUGCGGAAGAGGCAACUGGAAUUCCCAGUGUAGCGGUGAAAUGCGUAGAUAUCAGGAGGAACACCAAUGGCGAAGGCAGCUCGCUGGGACGUGACUGACGCUGAGACGCGAAAGCGUGGGGAGCAAACGGG